rnacentral:rRNA from 1 species
UAGGGAAUCUUCCGCAAUGGACGAAAGUCUGACGGAGCAACGCCGCGUGAGUGAAGAAGGAUUUCGGUUCGUAAAACUCUGUUGUUAGGGAAGAAAAAAUGUAUAGUAACUAUAUACAAAAGAGACGGUACCUAACCAGAAAGCCACGGCUAACUACGUGCCAGCAGCCGCGAUAAUACGUAGGUGGCAAGCGUUGUCCGGAAUUAUUGGGCGUAAAGCGCGCGCAGGUGGUUUAGAAAGUCUGAUGUGAAAGCCCACGGCUCAACCGUGGAGGGUCAUUGGAAACUAAUAAACUUGAGUGCAGGAGAGAAAAGUGGAAUUCCUAGUGUAGCGGUGAAAUGCGUAGAGAUUAGGAGGAACACCGGUGGCGAAAGCGGCUUUUUGGCCUGCAACUGACACUGAGGCGCGAAAGCGUGGGGAGCAAACAGG